AGCCAUCCCUUCAGGAAGAAACAAUAAGCACACAGUCUGCUAUUUUUAUUAGUGCACAUGGACCAACUAAAGCAAGAUAAGGCGCAACUUCUUAUCUUCAGCAAAUUGUGCUUGUCAUUCAUAAAAGUUUGCCAGCCUUCAACUACAGCAUCGGCUGGAAGUCGCGGUUCAGUGGCUUUGCGAGUCCUAUGAAGGUAGCCGUCGAACAACUUUGGAAGCAGGGACCGCCUCGAAGCACGCGAUCACCCUUUGCCCCUCCAGGUCCCCGCAGCCACGUGAUAGUGCCGAGAAGGUUGGGAUCGACGACGUCCUGGUAGUGGGCGUGCAGGCACUUCAGCUGCGGUAGGCUCCGGCUGGCGGCGGUCACGGCAUUCGAUGCCGCGCUGGGUGACAGAGGCGUUUCCAAUAGAAGGUACAAGUACCGCAGUUGGCCAAAGCGGUUAAGGUUGGCCUGCAAUGGAAA